AACGUACGCUGGCGGCACGCCUAACACAUGCAAGUCGAACGAAGUAGCAAUACUUAGUGGCAGACGGGUGAGUAACAUGUAGGUAUCUGCCCUUUGGCCUGGAAUAACACGAGGAAACUUGUGCUAAUACCGGAUAAGUCUUUACGGAGAAAGCUUUAUGCACCAUUGGAUGAGCCUGCACUUGAUUAGUUUGUUGGUGGGGUAAUGGCCUACCAAGACUGUGAUCAAUAGCUGAUUUGAGAGGAUGAUCAGCCACAUUGGGACUGAGACACGGCCCAAACUCCUACGGGAGGCAGCAGUGGGGAAUCUUGCACAAUGGAGGAAACUCUGAUGCAGCGAUGCCGCGUGAGUGAAGAAGGCCUUUGGGUUGUAAAGCUCUUUCGUCGGGGAAGAAAAUGACUGUACCCGAAUAAGAAGGUCCGGCUAACUUCGUGCCAGCAGCCGCGGUAAUACGAAGGGACCUAGCGUAGUUCGGAAUUACUGGGCUUAAAGAGUUCGUAGGUGGUUGAAAAAGUUAGUGGUGAAAUCCCAGAGCUUAACUCUGGAACUGCCAUUAAAACUUUUCAGCUAGAGUAUGAUAGAGGAAAGCAGAAUUUCUAGUGUAGAGGUGAAAUUCGUAGAUAUUAGAAAGAAUACCAAUUGCGAAGGCAGCUUUCUGGAUCAUUACUGACACUGAGGAACGAAAGCAUGGGUAGCGAAGAGGAUUAGAUACCCUCGUAGUCCAUGCCGUAAACGAUGUGUGUUAGACGUUGGAAAUUUAUUUUCAGUGUCGCAGGGAAACCGAUAAAUACACCGCCUGGGGAGUACGACCGCAAGGUUAAAACUCAAAUGAAUUGACGGGGACCCGCACAAGUAGUGGAGCAUGUGGUUUAAUUCGAAGAUACGCGCAGAACCUUACCAACACUUGACAUGUUCGUCGCGACUCUAAGAGAUUAGAGUUUUCGGUUCGGCCGGACGAAACACAGGUGCUGCAUGGCUGUCGUCAGCUCGUGUCGUGAGAUGUUGGGUUAAGUCCCGCAACGAGCGCAACCCUCACUUUUAGUUGCCAUCAUUAAGUUGGGCACUCUGAAAGAACUGCCAGUGAUAAGCUGGAGGAAGGUGGGGAUGACGUCAAGUCCUCAUGGCCCUUACGUGUUGGGCUACACACGUGCUACAAUGGUAUCUACAACAGGAAGCAAGACUGCGAAGUUAAGCAAAUCCCUAAAAGAUACCUCAGUUCGGAUUGCACUCUGCAACUCGAGUGCAUGAAGCUGGAAUUACUAGUAAUCGUGGAUCAGCGUGCCACGGUGAAUGCGUUCCCGGGUCU
rnacentral:rRNA from 1 species